GCCGGGGUCGCAUAGUGGUUAUUGCGGUUGGCUACUAUCAAGUGGACUAACUACCGAAAGGUUCCAGUGUUCGAAUCACUGUCCCGGCU